GGAUGGGUGGCCGAGUGGCUUAAGGCGCACGAUUGGAAAUCGUGUGGGGGCUCAACGUCCCUCGAGGGUUCGAAUCCCUCCCCAUCCG
rnacentral:tRNA from 1 species